CGCGAAGGCAAGCGGAUCUCUUAAAGCUGUUCUCAGUUCGGACUGCAGUCUGCAACUCGACCACACGAAGCUGGAAUCGCUAGUAAUCGCGGAUCAGCACGCCGCGGUGAAUACGUUCCCGGGCCUUGUACACACCGCCCGUCACACCAUGGAAGUCUGCAAUGCCCGAAGCCGGUGGCCUAACCACUUAUGUGGAAGGAGCCGUCUAAGGCAGGGCAGAUGACUGGGGUGAAGUCGUAACAAGGUACC
rnacentral:rRNA from 1 species